CGCAAGGGUCCUCAGCAACACCUGAAAGGGAAGAUGUGGUUUGAAUGCUAAGCCGUUAAAUUGGCGUAUAAACAGUGAUUGAAGAGGACUGUGGAUAGAAAAUGGAGAAAAGGGGAUUACUAGGGAUUUUUAGAAGGUAGGUAACCGGUAACAACAGCUAACACUUCGAGCAACUCAAGGCCAAGAGAAGGAGAAUGAAGGCACAAGAUCUCGCUGGCGUCUUCGAUCUGAGUUAUGCCCUGCCCUGCUUUGUGUCAUAUGGAAUAUGUUCCAUGGUUGGCAAGAAUCUCUCACAUGAAAUCCCUGUUUUGUGGAAGGACUUGUGUGGUGAAUCCCAUCACUUUGUAGAAGUGUCUAGCCCUCCAGCGUGAAAGGCACCAGUCAGUCAUCCAAUCCUUUGGGGGUAAAAAGUACACUGACUAUUGAACGCCUGGAUGGUUCCAUUUUUCAGCUGGGGUCUGGAAGCUGAUAAUCCUUCUGACAUGUGUUAGAAGGUCAAUAAUAGCUGAAUGCUACAUCAUAACACCUACAUCUCACCUCACUUCAUCUUACCACAUUAUCAUUUUACCAUCUUGUAUCAAUCAUCACAAGA